rnacentral:rRNA from 1 species
UACGAAGGGGGCUAGCGUUGCUCGGAAUUACUGGGCGUAAAGCGUGCGCAGGCGGUUCGUUGUGUCGGCGGUGAAAGCCCCGGGCUCAACCUGGGAAUGGCCGUUGAAACUGGCGAACUGGAGUGUGGCAGAGGGGGGUGGAAUUCCGCGUGUAGCAGUGAAAUGCGUAGAGAUGCGGAGGAACACCGAUGGCGAAGGCAGCCCCCUGGGCUGACACUGACGCUCAGGCACGAAAGCGUGGGGAGCAAACAGG